CCCUAUUAUAAUUAAUAUAAUUUUAAUUUUGAGUAGUAUAUGAUUUGGACAGGAAACUUAAAGAAUUUGGCGGUGUAUAUUCUAAUUAGAGGAAUAUGGUUUUUAAUUGAUAAUCCACAAAUAUCUUACUUAAAUUAUUUAUUUUGUAUAUCUCCGUCUUAAAAAAAUUUUUUAAAAUAUUUUUUGUAUAUUAUAAUUUUAAAAAAGUCAGGUCAAGGUGCAGAUUAUAUUUAAGUUAAAAUGUAUUACAAUAAAAUUAUUUUUGGAAUAAGAUUUAAAUAAAUUAGGAAAUUGGAUUUAUAAGUAAAUUUUUUUACUAUAAUAAUUAAUUGAAUAAUGUUAAUAUACAUGCACACAUC
rnacentral:rRNA from 1 species